CUAGCAAGAAGCUGUACAUUCCUCGCUCCAAUACCACCAAUAAUAAUAAUGCGGCCCGUGUGCCAAAAGGAACUGUUGCCGAUGCAGAAAUUUCUGAAUCUGCCGUCGAAGAAGCAGCAGGGAAUCGUAGAAAAGAUCCGGAGAAGCCUAAUCUUUCCGGUGAUCCACCGCCCCCUCCACCAGCAGCUGCUGUCAACAAUUCAGCUCCAUCUAGGUUAACCUUCUUUUUCUCUUUCCGACUGUAUAUGUAUAUAAGA